GACACUUGAAGAGAUUGUGUGGGCUCUCUCCAGGGAGUCUGUCCUGAAGACAUGAAAACACAGCCAGUAUUGUCAUGCCGCCACUUUUCAUGAUGUUAUUGUUAACCAUGGACUUCAAGGCUGGACUUGUUUCCUGUGGCAGCUCCUGUGGUGGGGAGAAGGGCUCACACAUACUCCAGUUUCACUCCACUACAGGUUGGAGAGCAAUGAAAGACUACCCAGAGAUGCUGAGAGAGUCUUGGAGCAGAUGCCUGCAAAGGAGAGCUAUCACAAAGUAUAAUAUCAGAAAAAAACACUUUCUGGUAAGUACAUACUUAUCCAAUAUCUUAAAGAUACAAAUCCUCAAGCUGGGUUAUUUAAUGACACCUUCAGACAGAAAUGGGGAAAAAAAAAUAAAUCACUAUGACUGUAUACAUUCUUGCAAAGCUCCAGUUGGAUACUACACUUCUCUGUGCCCUACGUAGCUUUGUAGGAGGGUGAAAUGGAGUUGCCCAGGGACAGUUACCCAGGCAAGAGGGUUACUGCUUGCAAAGUUGGCAGGGGUUUUCAGUAGAACAAUAGAGAGUAGUAUGAGUGGAAGACCUUGAACCAUCUGCGGGGGUUUCAGACAUUUUAGAGUUCUCACUUUCAGUUUAGGAAAUUCCUUUACUCCUUUGAUUGAGUUCUCAGGACACUUCAAACUGAUCCUGACUCCCUGUAAGCAAGAAACACAGCUCACAGGAUUUCAAUCAGUUUGAAUCACCCACAGGUAAAUUAGUGAAAGUCACUUGAAACUCUCUCUGAGAAAUCUCUGCUUUCAGAAUUAGCACUCUUUCAUUUAUUUUUUUCCUUUUUUUUUUUUUUAAAGAAAUGUUGAAUUUUGAACAGCUUCUGAACAGCUUCCAUGAAGAAAAUUUACAUGUUGCUGAUUUAUUAGAGACAAUGAACAAGAAGUCAUCUGUACCUUGUAAUACCUGAUGUCACAGAGAAGUCUGGAGCCAGACUAGGAGAAGGUAGCAAUUCCAGUAAAACAGUGAAUGACACCAAGAGUACUUGAAUCCUCUAUAAAUCUUUAGAAUACUGUAUUUAUAAAUUGAGAUGGACAUUAUGAAAAAAUAGAGGACUACAACAUGAAAAUUCUCUCUUUUUCCCUUUGCUUUCAACUCAGAUAGCAUUUUUACUAUGUUGAGAGGAUUCACAAUCUAUCAAGCCUGAUGAAUGUCUCCCUGUCUCCAACAGAGAAACAGGUGGUAUUUGUUUAAGAGGUGGCAUAAUUCCAAAAUAUGCCUAUUGCAAGAGCUGCUGAACUCUGACAGAAGGGAGUGUGAAACUUAAUUUACUAUGGAUGCCUCUUCCCAGUACUUACUCCUACAAUUGAGUUCUGUGAUGAAUUUGCUGUUAUUCAUAGAGCUGAGUGACAAUGGGAACUCUUCCCCAUGGUGAAUUUUGAUAUCUAAAAAUGAUAGUUAAAAACAUUUCUCCAUUUUUCUUAAUUAAAAUUUUGAAGAAUUUUCAGAAUAAGCUCAAAAUUUCUAAUGGAAACUUUACACAUAUAAAUAUCAUACAUUGUAACAGUCAGAAAAAUAAACUUAAAUGAAAAAGAGAGGUUCA
rnacentral:lncRNA from 1 species